AUGGCUUCUCCCUGUGGAACUUCUUCUGGAUCCAGCCUGCUCCAAAACUCAGGCUCCGAACAGGAUCUGCAGGCAGUGAUAAACCAGAAGCAAAAGAGAAUGACAUCGAACCGCGAAUCUGCAAGGCGGUCGAGGAUAAGGAAGCAGAAGCACUUCGAUGAUCUGACAGCACAGUUGAACCAGCUGAGAAAGGAGAACAGCCAGAUCCUGACAUCCUUGACCCUCACCACACACCAUUACUUAGCUGUUGAGGCUGACAACUCUGUCCUCAGGACUCAGAUGGUGGAGCUCAGCAGCAGGCUGCAGUCUCUUGACGAGAUCCUUCAAUGCUUGAAUGGAAACAACCCCAUCAGCAAUGGCCUUUCUGUGACAGCCCUCAGAUCAAUGAUAGCUUCAGCAAUCCAUGCAACUUCACUUACAUGAACCAGCCCAUCAUGGCUUCAGCAGACAUGUUCCCAGACAGACAGAGAAGUCACAAAUGCCGUAAAAGGGAGGCUGUUGUCUGCGAAUGGUGCUAUCAGUGCUUUGUCAAUGAGUUGGUCUCUAUCCAUCUUCCUGUCAUGUUGUAGUUCUCAUGUUCAGGUGCAGAAGGUGAACAGCCCAGAGUGGUAUGAAGAACAUGACUUUGUCUGAAUGCCAUGAAGAGUGUCACAUGCUGGCUUCUGUAUGGUCUAUUUUCUGCAUCUGCAUCAAGAAUCAUGGUUAGGUAAUCUAUUUAUUUAAAAUAUAAUAAACAGUUCAUGUUGAUCCAAA